UCCGAUAUGGUGUAGCGGUAACAUUACCGCCUCUCAUAGUGAGUGCAUGUUGGGUUGCGCGGUAGCCCGGGGUUCGACCCCCCGUGUCGGAA